GCUUUCUCAUGUGACAGAGGUGUCCUGGAAGCCAGCAGCCUGUCUUCAGAGUCCAGGAGAACACAGCCUCCGAGAGGGUUGAUGGGUUUUUCUGAACACAAACUCCUGAUGAGAUCCUCCUGCUCAUCCCUUCCACACGGAAGGGUCCUGUGAGGUUCCCACCUGCAUUCUUCCAUUUACUCACGAACACCAGUGGAGAUCUUCCCCAGCUGGCACUUCUUGUUUUAAUUGUCUGGGUCUUUUCCUUUACUAGCUUGGAAGAGUUGUAGAAGGCUCUCCCAGGGUGGUCAAAUGUGACUGUUUUUCCCGGCGAAGCAGACAGUCCCUACUGAAUAAAGCCUUCCAUUACCCGUUGCCCACUGCUGACACUGAAGGAGAAAACUCUCAAAUGUGCUGGCUGGAGAAGAAAAUCAGUAACGAAUGAAUAGCUAAGUAAUCAUUAAGAAGAGAGAUUUUAGCAAGACAGACAUAUAUGGCAGAAUAAUGUGCUCUCAGAUAUUGCCACAAUCUGAUCUGGGCAGAGCUAUUGUGGUUGGGAUCUUUUGAUUAGGUUAUUUCCAUG